rnacentral:rRNA from 1 species
AUUGAACGCUGGCGGCAGGCCUAACACAUGCAAGUCGAACGGUAACAGAAAGCAGCUUGCUGCUUUGCUGACGAGUGGCGGACGGGUGAGUAAUGUCUGGGAAACUGCCUGAUGGAGGGGGAUAACUACUGGAAACGGUAGCUAAUACCGCAUAACGUCGCAAGACCAAAGAGGGGGACUUUCGGGCCUCUUGCCAUCGGAUGUGCCCAGAUGGGAUUAGCUAGUAGGUGGGGUAAAGGCUCACCUAGGCGACGAUCCCUAGCUGGUCUGAGAGGAUGACCACCCACACUGCAACUGAGACACGGUCCAGACUCCUGCGAGAGGCAGCAGUGGGGAAUAUUGCACAAUGGGCGCAAGCCUGAUGCAGCCAUGCCGCGUGUGUGAAGAAGGCCUUCGGGUUGUAAAGUACUUUCUGCGGGGAGGAAGGAAGUAAAGUUAAUACCUUAGCUCAUUGACGUUACCCGCAGAAGAAGCACCGGCUAACUCCGUG